rnacentral:misc_RNA from 1 species
CCAAUAGCGUAUAUUAAAGUUGUUGCAGUUAAAAAGCUCGUAGUUGAAUUUUGGGUUUGGCCGAUUGGUCCGUUCUUGUAGCGAGUACUGGUCGGUUGGGCCUCACCGCUUGGGGAAGGGUAAUGUCCUUUAUUGGGUGUUGCUCGGAGCCAAGACCUUUACCUUGAAAAAAUUAGAGUGUUUAAAGCAGGCUUAUGCCGGAAUACAUUAGCAUGGAAUAAUAGAAUAGGACAACGAUUCUAUUUUGUUGGUUUCUAGGAGCGUUGUAAUGAUUAAUAGGGAUAGUUGGGGGCAUUAGUAUUCAAUUGUCAGAGGUGAAAUUCUUGGAUUUAUUGAAGACUAACUACUGCGAAAGCAUUUGCCAAGGAUGUUUUCAUUAAUCAAGAACGAAAGUUAGGGGAUCGAAGACGAUCAGAUACCGUCGUAGUCUUAACCAUAAACUAUGCCGACUAGGGAUCGGGCGAUGUUGUUUCAAUGACUCGCUCGGCACCUUAUG